rnacentral:rRNA from 1 species
GACGAACGCUGGCGGCGUGCCUAAUACAUGCAAGUAGGACGCAGUUGCGAACGGGUGAGUAACGCGUAGGUAACUACCUAUUAGAGGGGGAUAACUAUUGGAAACGAUAGCUAAUACCGCAUACUAGUAUAUGGACCUGCUGUGUAUUAGCUAGUAGGUAGGGUAAUGGCCUACCUAGGCAACGAUACAUAGCCGACCUGAAAGGGUGCACAGCCAAAAUGGCACUGAGACACGGCCCAGGUUCCUCCGGGAGGCAUCAGUAGGGAAUCUUCGGCAAGUGGGGGAACACUGAACGAGCAACGCCGGGUGAGUGAAGAAGGUUUUCGGGUCGUAAAGCUCUGUUGUUAAGGAAGCGGUACUUAACGAGAAAGGGACGGCUAACUACGUGCCAGCAGCCGCGGUAAUUG